ensembl:ncRNA F47G3.8 ncRNA
UUAGACGGUGGUGACGGCGGCGGCGGCGUCGACGACGACAGCAGCAGCAGUAGCGGGGAGAAAUCGGGCAGAAAUGAGAGAAGCAAAAUACUAGGGCGGGAAAGAACAACCAUUACUCAUUACUCAUCUAUUCACUUUUAUGUUUU